UGGUACUUGGAGAGUGGUUAUCCCUGUCCUGUUCGUGUUACUCAUGUCGAAUCGUACAGGGUCAUCCACUUUUUCAGUAUCA
ensembl:miRNA MIR487B microRNA 487b